GCACCAGUGGUUUAGUGGUAGAAUUGUACCCUGCUACCGUGUAGACCUGGGUUCAAUUCCCAGCUUGUACA
rnacentral:tRNA from 1 species